rnacentral:misc_RNA from 1 species
ACAUUUUUUGUCUUCUAUUUUUAGUAGUGUAGUAGUGUUUCAAUAUCCAAUUUUCAACAAGCAAAUCAGUGUAGAAAUGGCAGUAUCCCUCCCAAAUCUGUUUCCAAAAGGUGAUGCGUAUGGAACAAAGUAUUUCGAGAUUAAAACAAAGCCAAGUCAAUUGAAGCUUUCGUUUAGCUAUAGAGCAAGAGCAAAGGCAGCUCUUAAUCCUCGUUCGAGUUCUGUUGAAAUCCCUCGGCAGUGGUACAAUCUAGUUGCAGACCUUCCAAUCAAACCACCUCCACCGUUGCAUCCCAAGACGUUUCAGCCUAUCAAACCGGAGGACUUAUCUCCGCUUUUCUGUGAUGAGUUGAUUAAGCAGGAGGCAAGCAUCGACCAGUUUAUUGAUAUACCGGAAGAAGUUUUAGACGUCUACAGUCUUUGGCGCCCAACCCCUUUGAUUAGAGCAAAGAGGUUGGAAAAACUGCUUGAUACACCCGCACGAAUAUAUUACAAGUAUGAAGGUGGUAGCCCCGCGGGGUCGCACAAGCCCAACUCUGCUGUUCCUCAGGCCUGGUACAAUAAAAUGGGGAAUGUUAAAAAUGUGGUUACGGAGACCGGGGCAGGUCAAUGGGGGAGCGCGUUGUCGUUUGCUUGCAGCUUAUUUGGUCUCAAUUGUGAGGUAUGGCAAGUUCGAGCUUCGUUUGAUCAGAAACCUUAUCGUAAGAUGAUGAUGCAAACUUGGGGUGCGAAGGUGCAUCCUUCUCCUUCCGACCUUACAGAGGCCGGUCGGGCUAUUCUACAAAUGGAUCCUUCAAGUCCAGGAAGUUUAGGAAUAGCUAUU